rnacentral:rRNA from 1 species
UACGUAGGGGGCAAGCGUUGUCCGGAUUUAUUGGGCGUAAAGGGCGCGUAGGCGGCCACGCACGUCCGUUGUGAAAUCGCCCGGCUCAACUGGGCGGGGUCAGCGGAUACGGUGUGGCUAGAGCAAGCUAGGGGGCAAUGGAAUUCCCGGUGUAGUGGUGGAAUGCGUAGAUAUCGGGAGGAACACCAGUGGCGAAGGCGGUUGCCUGGAGCUUUGCUGACGCUGAUGCGCGAAAGCGUGGGGAGCGAUCCGG